UUUAUUGAGGACCUCCUAUCAA
rnacentral:miRNA from 2 species